UAAUAGAAGUAACUGGGAACAUCUCCCAGUUUGGCACGCAGGUGACCAGAGUCUACAUUCAGAAAUAAUCCCGUUCAUUUUAAAAUCUCAGCAGUGCUUGAGUGUAGCUGCUUGUCGGCCCUCACCAACAUGGAAACCUACCAACAGUUUAGACGACAAACAGUGAGCUAAAGAAUGAGUCCAUGGUUCUCUAGUUUCUUCCAGUAAUAUUCAAUCAAUCACCUCCAAACAAAGGUUGGCCUCAGCUGCUCUUCCAGGUGUGUCUCAUGCAGGAAGAAAGGCCCAGGUGAGCUUCCCGCCCUUUUUAUAGACUCCACCCCAUUUGCCUGCUCUUAGUGCCGGACUUCCUGUUACCUGUUUUCUUCCACGUAUUCAUAAAACAAAUCCACUGACGACACGUCUGAAGAACAAUGUGAGGGAAAUGACGGCGAACAGACCUGUGAUGGGUCCGACUGUGUAUCGCUCUAUGAGUUUGGAUUAAUCUGAUUGGACACUGGCCCUGUCAGACGAGGAUCAACAGUCAAAGUGACCAAUGAGGAAUCUCAGCUGGCAGGAAGUGAGUUUGAAAAAAUCCUCGUUGAUUAUUGGCAGAUAGUUUUCCAGAGAUGAAAAUAAAACGAAGAUUCAGUGUCAUGUUUUACAGCUCAGACAAGAAAUGUUUGAAAUAUAUAUUUAUGUAUGAAUAUAUUAUAGGCACGUUCAUACAUGUAGCGUGUAUCACGCAGACAUCCAUGAUUAGUUUGAUGUUAUGGUUCUGGUUCUGGUCCCGGACUUAAGGAAGGACCCGACACGCCACCAUCAUCAGCUUCUUCCUCAUGUUAAAUCAGAAUCAGAAUUUACUUUAUUGCCAUGUUGAUCUGUCCACUCCUCCACCAGGUGAUGUUGAUCUGUACACUCCUCCACCAGGUGAUGUUGAUCUGUCCACUCCUCCACCAGGUGAUGUUGAUCUGUCCACAUCACCAGGUGAUGUUGAUCUGUCUACUCCUCCACCAGGUGAUGUUGAUCUGUCCACAUCACCAGGUGAUGAGUUCAGGACAACACUUUGUGUUCAUCUCCAGGACGACUGAGUUUCCAGAGUUCUCUGCGGUCCUGAUGCUGCACGACAUCCAGCUCCUGGUGGCGUGUCGGGUCCGUCCUCAAGUCUGGGACCAGAACCAGAACCAUAACAUCAAACUAAUCAUGGAUGUCUGCGUGAUACACGCUACAUGUAUGAACGUGCCUAUAAUAUAUUCAUACAUAAAUAUAUAUUUCAAACAUUUCUUGUCUGAGCUGUAAAACAUGACACUGAAUCUUCGUUUUAUUUUCAUCUCUGGAAAACUAUCUGCCAAUAAUCAACGAGGAUUUUUUCAAACUCACUUCCUGCCAGCUGAGAUUCCUCAUUGGUCACUUUGACUGUUGAUCCUCGUCUGACAGGGCCAGUGUCCAAUCAGAUUAAUCCAAACUCAUAGAGCGAUACACAGUCGGACCCAUCACAGGUCUGUUCGCCGUCAUUUCCCUCACAUUGUUCUUCAGACGUGUCGUCAGUGGAUUUGUUUUAUGAAUACGUGGAAGAAAACAGGUAACAGGAAGUCCGGCACUAAGAGCAGGCAAAUGGGGUGGAGUCUAUAAAAAGGGCGGGAAGCUCACCUGGGCCUUUCUUCCUGCAUGAGACACACCUGGAAGAGCAGCUGAGGCCAACCUUUGUUUGGAGGUGAUUGAUUGAAUAUUACUGGAAGAAACUAGAGAACCAUGGACUCAUUCUUUAGCUCACUGUUUGUCGUCUAAACUGUUGGUAGGUUUCCAUGUUGGUGAGGGCCGACAAGCAGCUACACUCAAGCACUGCUGAGAUUUUAAAAUGAACGGGAUUAUUUCUGAAUGUAGACUCUGGUCACCUGCGUGCCAAACUGGGAGAUGUUCCCAGUUACUUCUAUUA